rnacentral:rRNA from 1 species
UUGCCAGACUCCUACGGGAGGCAGCAGUGAGGAAUAUUGGUCAAUGGCCGAGAGGCUGAACCAGCCAAGUCGCGUGAGGGAAGACGGCCCUACGGGUUGUAAACCUCUUUUGUCGGGGAGCAAAGAGAGUCACGUGUGGCUCAUUGAGAGUACCCGAAGAAAAAGCAUCGGCUAACUCCGUGCCAGCAGCCGCGGUAAUACGGAGGAUGCGAGCGUUAUCCGGAUUUAUUGGGUUUAAAGGGUGCGUAGGCGGACUGUUAAGUCAGGGGAAAACGCCGGGGGCACAACCCCGGCGAGCCGUUGAAACUGGCAGUCUCGAGUUGGAGAGAAGUAUGCGGAAUGCGCGGUGUAGCGGUGAAAUGCAUAGAUAUCGCGCAGAACUCCGAUUGCGAAGGCAGCAUGCCGGCUCCACACUGACGCUGAGGCACGAAAGCGUGGGUAUCGAACAGGAUUAGAUACCCGGGUA